AACGGCCGUACCAUGCUGAAUAUACCGGUUCUCGUUAGAUCACCGAAGUCAAGCAUCAUUGGGCGCGGUCAGUACUAGGAUGGGUGACCACCUGGGAACACUGCGUGCCGUU
rnacentral:rRNA from 1 species